rnacentral:rRNA from 1 species
UACGAAGGGGGCUAGCGUUGCUCGGAAUCACUGGGCGUAAAGCGCACGUAGGCGGAUCUUUAAGUCAGGGGUGAAAUCCUGGAGCUCAACUCCAGAACUGCCUUUGAUACUGGGGAUCUCGAGUCCGGGAGAGGUGAGUGGAACUGCGAGUGUAGAGGUGAAAUUCGUAGAUAUUCGCAAGAACACCAGUGGCGAAGGCGGCUCACUGGCCCGGUACUGACGCUGAGGUGCGAAAGCGUGGGGGAGCAAACAGG